CGAGAAGAUGGGAGGGGGAAAGAAAGAAAAGAACUUGUCAUUACUCGUAGGAGAGGCCAGAAGACAGCUCCAUCUCAAAUAUGAAGUCUCACGGGCUCCAAAACUUGUGGCCAGGAGCAUUAAAGCCAGAAAGCAGAGCCCUGGUGUUACAGGGUCUUUGUCCCCAGCUAAGGCCACCAGAACUUGUCAGGACAGAAAUAUAUCCAGUCUCACUAGGAAUCACAGAGAGAUCUAAACAACUUCGCAGUUGAUCAUAUUGUAAUGGCGGGAGUGUGUGAGGAAGACCGGAAGUUGCACACGGCAAGACCGGAAGCAGCAGAGGGAUUCAAGAGUCAGGUAUCAUAACACCCUCUCUUCAUCCCUUCCAAGGGCGAUGGCCCCCAUGAUCUAACCAUCUGAAACUAGGCCCAACCUCUCAAGGUUCCAUCACCUUUCAGUACACCUCCUCUGGGGAGACCAUGUGCAUUUCCAGUUUUAUUUCUGUAGUCACUGAUACACUGGCCUUAUUCUAGGUUUGAGCUGUCAGCUGACAGAAGAUGUGGAAACUGUCACCUCUACUCACUGCUUACAGUAACUGGGAGGGCAGCGUUCUCUGAAGAGGUCACCUGCAAACACUGGACCCGCCUCCUGAUUCUGUGCCUACUUGCCCUUAGGACCAGGAAGUUGGCUAUGACCAACUUCCACCCUCAGGCUAGAGUAUACAGGUCACCCAACACCACCAGAGCUAUGAGAGGAACUGUGUACUUCGUGGGCAGAAGGGAGCCUGCUCCCUCAGUGGCAGCUGUUUAAUGACCUAGAUAUCAGAGCUGACUGGGCACUAUCUUUGCUCAUCCCAGGCAGAGAAACUGGGUCAGUCAAGAUGAGACACAGAGACGCCCUUGGCAAAACACUGUCAGUUCCACUGAAUAAAUCUUGAAAGAUUUAUCUAGCAUCUUCCAUCCAUUAAUUUUAUGGAGAAUAAAGGCAAUGUCUAGGGAGAGAACAGAACAACAGAAUGACCACUGGCUCACAGGUCAGGAGAAAUACACUGCAGAAAUGCAAGCCCACGGCCACUCUACUUUCCCUGGCAGAGCAUUAACCACACUUGGUAGAACUGCUUGUCUACUCCUCUGUUCCCUCCAGGAAGCUUGGUAUAACACACGGGCCUGCGUGUGCUGCUCACCCCUGCAUUUCUGGUGUCCAGCACAGUGUAAGUCAAUAGAUCAAUUUUAAAGCCUUCAAAUGAAUGUAUGGCAAAUGCCAAGUACUCUAUGUGAAUUUUGUAGAUGCGAAGCCCUGCAAUGGGAAGGAGGUGCAAUUUAAUCCAAAUAUGAAGAAGUAUAAAACAGGUGUUAAUAGUUGGCAGGAACAUUUUCCUUUCCUCUUUGGGUAAAGAAACUUCCAUAACAUGGCCUACGCAGCCAAGACACUCUGUCUCCUUCUGUGUCUUCAUUCUUUGGUUUAUUCAGCCUUUGGGCUCUAGGCAGAUUUUAUCCCAGCCCCUCACUCCACAAUUUCCUAGGCCACAGGGCCUUUGCACAGGCUAGUCUCACCAAAUUGCUCAGACCCUUCCUUCUUUGUGUGACCUAUUUCUGUUUAUCUUCCUCAUUACAGCUCAAACUUCACUUCUACAUGAAAAUCUUCCCUCACUGAUGAAAACCCCUACUAUGGAUUGUGUUCCUAACAUUUGUCCUGGUUAUAGUUACGUAUAGUGAUGAUUUGAUUAAUAUCUGUCUCUACUACCAGGUUAUGAGCUCCACCAGAGCCUAUGUUCUAUGACAGUUUUUCACCACUGUGUCUCCAGCACCCAGCAGAGUACCAGGCAUCUCCCAAAUGAAGAGAUUGAGGCACAGGGAAUGGAGGCAGGAUGCCCAAGACCAUUCAAUGAGCGAGAAGUGGGAACUCUAACUUCACGGAAAUGUCACCCAGUUAGUUAUUCAUGGUCAUGCAAUACUUCCCCACAUGCCUCUUGUCAGACAGGUAAGCAGCUUUUGCCUGUGGAUUAGUGUCCUCUAUAUGGACUCAUUAGCCCCAUAACAACAGCGUGUAGGCAAGAGGGAUGUUACAUCGUCUGAUCCAAUUCUAUCUCUGACAGAACACACCAGGAGUCUUCAUGACAAGAAGUAACCUGGUAACAGGCACAUAGCUUACACCAAUUAAAUACCGUUGCAGCAGUGGGAGGGAAAGUUCUCAGAGAGCAGUUCUCAAAGUGUGGUUUCAUCGGGGCAUCUCCCACCCUACUUGAGGGACUCAUAUGGUCAAAACCAUUUCUCAGUCAUACUGAGCUGCUUUGCCUUUCUCUCCCUUCUCCCUGUCCACACAGUAGAGUUUUCCAGAGACUAAGUGAUGUGCAAAGACAGAAGAGACUGAACGUGAAGCAGACAGGAGAAUCCAGCUGUCUUCUAUGCUUGGAGGCUGACCGACUGAGACACCACCAGAGUGGAGUGGGCAGAAUUUCCUGAGUACACAGACUCGUGACCUCACGCCUCAUUGUCUUGUCAAUACUACUUCCAUGCCUGUGGGACUGAAGGUAAAAGGUGGCCCCUCCAAAGCUGGAUGCCAGCCAGUGGUUGGCAGGGACAGAGAGCAGGCUCAGAAGUGACUCAGAGAAGCCAUCUCAGACACGAGCCACACAGGGAAAGACCCAUGGCAGCAAAACCACUGUGCUGUUCCCACUUCUCUUCCCCGGUAAGGUUAAAGAUGAAAAGGCCACUCAAAGGCCAGUGCCAUGGUUCAGCAACAUCAGUUAUUAAGCACAAGGUGUGAUUCAAAAAUGUGGUGAAUGUUCAAAUUUAUAAAAAUUUAUUACACCCUUUUCCCAUCAUUCUUGCCACUUUCUGAAGCCGGACUAGAAGUUCUCUUUUGUGAGUGUCUUUUUAGUUGUGCUCACAUGACUGCAUCAGUGUCCUGAAUCAAUCAAAACACUUACCUUUCAUGGUCAUUUUGACUUUGGAAAAGAGCCAGAAGUCAGAGGGCCAUAUCCGGCAAAUAAGGUGGAAGAGAACACACUAGCAUGUUUCUACAAGCCUGCCUUGCUGCUGGAUGGCACUAGGCAACAGCGUUCGCCAUAUUUUUGACCAUACCUCAUAAAGACACUCACCACAGAGGACUUCCAGAUCUGCUUCAGAAAGUGGCAAGAAUGAUGGGACGAGUGUGUUCAAAGCAAGGGAGGAUAUUCUGAGGGGGAUUAAAGGCAAUAUGUCAUUUAUAGGAUUUAAUUUAAAUAUUCAUUGUAUUUUGAUCACCCCUUGUAUAUUUGACAAGUGGGGUCUGCCCUUCAUUCCCCCAAGUAUCUAGGUGCCUUUGCAGGAUCCACUCAGAAGCCUCAAGACUCAGGAACAGCAGGGGGGCCUCCAAGACCCUGUGCCCAAUCCUCACGGGGCAGUGCUCAUCCCGCCCAGCUGCUCCAUUCUCUGAAGAUCCCUCACUUGCUCCUGUGACAGGACCUGGCUCUGGGUGCCAGCAUCUUUUAUAAAGUCACACAUAGAAAUGCCCCUUUCCUCCUCCAGCCCAUCCCACUGGGACUCAUCAGAGAUGAUGUCCCUGACUCUGGGGCAAUGCUAACAAUCCAACCUCUCCGGCUGUCUGCACCUUGGUGGGUGGCAGUUGGGACAGUGAGAAGCAAGACCACCAAGGGUCAGGUUCCAUGGCCCUCGCUCCUCUGGGCAGUUUGUAUAAUGCAUCAUAGGGUCUCCAGUAGCCUUCCAGGCAGGCUUUUACAAGUACUUCGCAGAUAAGGAGACUGAUGCUCAGAGAAAUUCAAAGGGAGGCCCCACAAAUGUUAGGCAGUAGUACCCCGUGCCCACAGGGACAGGUACAAAGACGCAUGGGAAGGAGGCAAAAAUCCUCUGAAGCCUGGACCAGGCCCCAGCUUCCCCAGGCAGUUCCAUACCAGACUGUGGGUCUGCCCUGGCCAGAUCUGAACUUUCCAGAGAGGCUAGAAAUCUGGAAUUUUUGGUGCGAUGUCCAGAUUUCGAAACAACAUUUAGACCAAGCCCAGCAGAGGUCAGCUCCAUAGAGUUUCCAGUUGCCACUCCCUCUAAUUACCUCCCUGCCUCCAAAAGCAAGUCUGUUUCUCAACCACAGCAGGCACGAGGUGCCAGCACAAGACCAGGCAGAGCCAUCUGGGCCCACAAGACAGACCUCGCUUCAUUCCUCUCAAAUGAGGGUCCCCAGAAGACAACGUCUGCACUUACCUCAUGAUCUAUUAGUGAGUCUCUACCUGAACAAGCCCAGGUCUGUGUAACCCACAACGCAGGAAGCCUGGGUUCAAAUCCUAGCUCAGGCACUUGCUAGCUCGGUGACUCCCAGUGAAUUAUCCCACUUCCAUGGGCCUCUCCUUCCUCACUUGUAAAACAGUGCCUGUCCUGUAGAGGUGUGGGGAGUCAUACAUGAGUUAGCAUACACACAGCAGGGAGAGCCUGGCACACACUACACACUACACCAGUGACCUCAUGGAAUCUGCUCAUACUAUUCCCCUUGGCCGGGCUGUGGGCCAGAACCAGGCUCCUCUUCUUCCUUUCUGCCCUCAACUCUGCUGCCAGCUGUGCUACCUACUACAGUCAACAGACUCUGUGAGAGACAGAAAAAACGCUAAGGUGGAUUUCCCUUGGGGCUCGAGCGGCCAACUGACUCAGAAGGAAGAUGUUUCCCCUCAGACCCGUCAGAGAUCAAGCAUGAUUCUUGGAACCUCCUCUUUCCUUGAAAAAUCUCUGGGGCUUCCUUCACACUACCUCCUCCCACCCCAAGAGCAGAAGCAGGGUGGCUGGAGAAAGAAGGAAAAUGUGUGUUUCCUGCCUCAGGCCAGCUGCAGAUAACUCAUCUCUGGCUUCCGGAAACCUCAUCUUUGAGCAUUUAUUUCUCCAUGGAAAAAGUCCUCUCAGGAAGUUUGAGGGCAUGGAGUGAAUAGAGGCAGACAAUUCUAUGCUUAGCUGCUCUUUCCCCCGCUUCCUGACUUAGGUAUCAUAUUCUCUGAAAUCUAAUUAGGUGCCCAUCCUCUGCACACCCUAAUUCUGCCAGCACCCCGCUUAAACGAUCACCCCACUUAACACUACCUACUCAGUUCUCUCUCUCACCCCUUGUAAGCACCUCAAGAGCAAGAACCAUCUACCUCAAUGGUUUCCCCAAAGCACAGACCAGGAAUGAAUGUGGCAGAGCACGGCAUACUCACUCUACAAAUGAGUAACAGAAGCAAUGAGUCCUCCUUCCGCACACCCCCAGUCAAAAAGUGAAAGCCUGCUUAAGAAUCUACUUGCAGAGGUUUUUACUAGAACCAGUAGACAUAAAUCUUGUCUUCUCCACACUUUUCUAGCUUUUCCCGGUCACACGAGUGAGUUGGAGAGGGGACUUCUGGAGAAGUGUAUGUGCGAUGUCACAGCCCUGGAGGGCACGGGAAAGCCAGACUGGCUUUCCUCUAUGGAGACUGGCCCCACACCCAAGAUGCAGCCACAUCUGUGAAAACCACAUCUGUGCCCCACGGAGAACGCCCAAGAUCAGCCCAAGCUGGGGCAGACAGAAAUUCAGGGAAGACAGGAUUGUAGAUUGUGAUCACUAUCAGUUUAGCCAGCACAUGUCCAUUCUGAAAGGUCUUGGCUUUGGGGAUAUAACAUCAUGCAAGCCUUCCUCCUAAGGCAGUUUCAAUAGAAAAUAUUCUGAUUUACUGUUUUCAUAACAGAUAGUGUGCCUUGCCUUUUAUUUGGGGAAAACAGCCCACUACUGAGGUGUGACAUUUCUGAUGGAUUUAUUCUUAAUGUGUGGAAACACUUGUCCCAUAUUCAAUAUUGUAUUUUGAGAACAUAACCAUCCUCAGUUUAAAAUUCUUCCUCAUAGCUACCUCAACGCCUCUCUGCUAAAAUGUUAGCUAGAGUUCAUUUUCAAUGGCAUGUCUUAAAAGAAAGGGCCAAGCUGGCAUGGUGGCACAUGCCUAUAAUCGUAGCACUCUGGCAGGCUAAAGCAGAAGUAUGCAAGUUCAAGUCUAGCUUAGGCAAUUUAACCACUUAUCAAGAUUCUGUCUCAAAAUAAACAUUUAAAAAGGGCUGGGGAUGGAACUCAGCAUGAAGGCCCUGGGUUCAAUAACCAGUACCACAAAGGAAAAAUAAGAAAGAGGAGGAGGACGACGAAGUAGAGGAAGAGAAGGAGAAGGAGGAGGAGAAGAAGAGACCAAUCUUUGUGUCUUUGCAGUGACUGCAUCACCAGACCCAGUUCCAUAAAUCAUCUGUGGUCUGGCAUGCUUUGUAUUGGCUCAUAUUUCCAAACAGUCUCAUUUCCCAGGUUCACCUAACUUCACAGUUAGAAAGAGGGCCAGGGCUGACUGGCUGCAUGGCCCAGGGAGGAUGAUUCAGGCUUUGACACCAGACUUAGAUAAUCCAUCAAAAAGUUUAUUACUGGUUGGCUUGAGUAAAAUGCAGAACUGAGAGAGUCAUUUCCCCUUGUUCUCGUCUCCACAGAAAGAGAAACAGCUGGCUCCCCUGGUAAGGACUCAGCCUUGCCCAAACUUCAAUGCCACGCACACACUCUGAGGAGCAUGUCCGACUCUCCAGUCAGAGUGAGCUCAGCUCCUCUGCUGAACCACUGGGGAAAUCUCCAUGAAGUACUAUUCACAGGGCACGCCCUCACUUUGCUCUCCGCUGGCGCUGAAUCCCUGAUCACAUCUUUAUUCCUAGAUAUUCUCAAUGAUCAGAAUGAUCAUUUCUUCAACAUUUAUUUUGCUCUGGAUCCUAUACUACAGACACAUUAGCGUUAUCUCUGUCCUCCCAACCACUACCAGGUCGGUGCCAUUAUUAUCAUUCUCACUUUAUAAAACAAAAAGCAGAUUGAAGAAAUUGAAGCCAUUUGCCCAAGGUCACGUCGUUAAACCAAUCCUGAAGCCCAGGCUCUGAAUCCAGAAGGUGCCCCCUUAACAUUCUAUGGAACCUAACAGAUCUCUGCUAAACAGUAGGACUCUCACAAUUGCCUGAGAAGUGAGCUUGGGACAACUUAUCCUUCUCUCCCUCUACAUCUUCUUUCUGACGUUCCCACCACCUCGGGCCCUCCACCCUGACACCUCGGCCCCAGCAAGUAUAUGGAUCUAUUCUGCGAGCAAGUCUUGCCAAAGGGAAAAGGAAAGGAAGUGUGCGUUAGCUAUGGCAGAGAGUGGCAUGUCCAUUUCAGCAUUUUAGAUCCGGACAGGACAGCUGUGUUUAUGUCCACAGAGGCGCCUGCAAAUGUGGGAGCACAUGUGGCCCAGCUUGUCCCAUGCAUUAUGAGACAUUUAGGUCACCUACAUGCCAGGGACAUGCUUCAUGCCCCCAGCUGUGCUCUGGGUCUCUGCACUGAGGCGAAAGCCUGCCUCCACCCUAGCCACUCUGCCAAAGCAAACCAGAGGAUGGAGGCACACUAACAAUGGUGGCACCAGCUCUGGGUUCUGAAAGGCUCAGCACACAUCUGAGCAGAGAGCUUCAAACCCUGACCAUCAGAGGCUCGCACCACGGAAAGCCAAGAGGGCAUCCAGUGGUGUCCCAACUGGAAAGGAGAGCAGAGGAGGGCUGCACCUUGGGGAUGAACAGUGAGGGCACCAUGAGAGAUGGGCUCAGAGAGCCCUCGGGAAAGGAACAACAGCAGAAAGGUCAGGAGCCGUCAGCUUAACCAUUCUCCCACCGUCAGACUUCUCCUGUUGACACUACAAUAGAGGACAAAGAGAAGGACGCUGCCAUGAACUGAACUGUGCACCCUCCAUUCCUGUGUCGAAGCCCUAACUCCCAAGGUGAAGGUAUUUGGAGGUGAGGCCUUUGGGAGCUAAGUAGGGGUAGAUAAGGUCAAGAGGGUGGGGCCCUCAAAAUGGAUUAGUGUCCUUCUAAGAAGAGACGCCAGAGCACUCAUUCUCUUCCCUUGGAGUGCACAAAGAGGAAGUCAGGUGAGCACAGUGAGAUGGUGGCCACCACAAGGCAGGAAGUGAGCCCUCACCAGGAACCAAACUGGCCAGCACCUUGACCUUGGAAUCUCCAGCCUCCGGAACACUGAAAAACAAAUUUCUAUUGUUUAAGUCACCCAGUCUAUGGUAUCUGUUAUGGCAGUUGGAGCAGAAUAACACAGGUGCCUAAGUCAGGCAGGAGUUCAAAUCCUGACUCCAUCCUUAUAGCUGCCUGGCCUUGGGCAAGUGAAAAGAUCUGCCCUUUUGCCUCAUUUGUCAACUGCUCAUGACAAAGGGUUUUGAAGGGACUAGAUAUGCUGGUGUUUCAGAGGUGCCUGAGCUAUCUGGGACAAAACACUUCCACCAGCAAUGCUUCUCCAUGCAUGCUAUGGUAGCCAGCAGCUUGCUGGCCACAUUCGGGUCACAGAUGUGUUUUCUUUGGCCUCAGGAAAUUUGGAUUAUUUACUAACUUUUAAAAGUCAAGAAAUUUCACAUAAAAAAAUCUCAGUGUCCAGUUCUUCUUGAGAAAUAAGAUGGGCCGUCAUAGGACCUGGGUGAUCGUAGCAUCAUGUACUCUAAAAGAAGGACAAGAGCCCUUCUCCCUGCAGCCAGGCUGGCUCCACCUGUUUGGCACCACAAGGCUUCUCGGCCUGCAGCCCCUGGGUGAGUGUGGCUGCCGAAAUCUGGCUUAGUCUUGUACUUUUCCUAGCUACCCACAAACAGAGCCUUUAAGUACAAUUUCAGGAUCCAGUCUCCCAAAGUGAGGAACAAUUAGCACAUUCCUGAGUCACUCUUUUAUUUAUUUAUACUUCUAUGGGAGUUAAAGAAUCUCAUAGAAAAGUCAGGGUCUCAGUUCUUUGGGAAAAUUGAGCUCUUGCCCUUUGGGGGUUGUGACCCAGCUUUGCCCCUGUGACUCACCAUCUUGAGACCUCAGUUUCCUCCCUUGUAAAAAUCAGUCCCUGUGCUGGAUGAACUAUCUCUUUCGUCUCCUUCCAUAUUUAUGUAAUUAUGAUGUGAAACUCAAGCACACAGGUAGAAGUUUAACACAAUUCUAUUUACUUAUGAGCUCCGGAGGCUUUAAUACAAGCAGAGCUCUUAAAACACCCCAGUGACCUUACCACAAGCCUUAACUCAGUGUAAACAGGACCUGAAUAAUAGCCUUGUUUAUUGUUCUGCCCACUUUGGGGUUGGGUCUUUAGCCUUGAUGUUUUACACUUUACAUUCCCAGAGACCAGGGAAUACUGGGGCAUUAAAAGGCCUGCUGGUUCAACUUCCUAUCCCUAGCAGACUCUGGUGCUCUCCCUGCCUAACUCUGCUUUCAUUUCACCAAGACACAAAUUUAACCACAUUAACAACUGCUAGUGCUCUACCACAUGGACUGUCUUUCAGUUCCUUAUUCACUGCAACCAUAGGACCUUUGCAGCUGCAGGCAGGCUCCAUCACCUACUGCCCUCUUUUUUGUUUUGUUUGUUGAUGUUGUUGUUUUAAACAGAACAUAUUUAUAAUACAUAUAACCUAUGACUAGAAUAUAUAAAGAACUCUUACAGCUCAAUAAUAGACAACCCAAUUGAAAAGUAGACGCAAGGGG